rnacentral:tRNA from 1 species
ACAUCGGUACCACAGUGGUCAGGACAGUCUGCCAGGAACAGAAAGACGCGGGUUCAAUUCCCGUCCGAUGUC